rnacentral:rRNA from 1 species
GACGAACGCUGGCGGCGUGCCUAAUACAUGCAAGUCGAGCGAAUCAGUAGGAGCUUGCUCCUGUUGGUUAGCGGCGGACGGGUGAGUAACACGUGGGCAACCUGCCUGUAAGACUGGGAUAACACCGGGAAACCGGUGCUAAUACCGGAUAAUCCUUUUCCUCACAUGAGGGAAAGCUGAAAGUCGGUUUCGGCUGACACUUACAGAUGGGCCCGCGGCGCAUUAGCUAGUUGGUGAGGUAACGGCUCACCAAGGCGACGAUGCGUAGCCGACCUGAGAGGGUGAUCGGCCACACUGGGACUGAGACACGGCCCAGACUCCUACGGGAGGCAGCAGUAGGGAAUCUUCCACAAUGGACGAAAGUCUGAUGGAGCAACGCCGCGUGAGCGAUGAAGGCCUUCGGGUCGUAAAGCUCUGUUGUUAGGGAAGAACAAGUACCGGAGUAACUGCCGGUACCUUGACGGUACCUAACCAGAAAGCCACGGCUAACUACGUGCCAGCCGCCGCAGUAAAAC